GGUUCGGUGGUGUAGUUGGUUAUCACGUCAGUCUAACAUUCCUCUGGAAUUCUUAAACACUGAAGGUCCCGAGUUCAAACCUCGGCUGAAUCA